GCGGACAGCUCACCCCCCGGGUCAUGAGGAUGCGGUCAACCUUCCAGACACGUCACACCGGCAGAGACUUAUAAAUACAAAAAGUCUAGCGGAGGAUACAGUGAGCGAGAAGGAUAUCACGAGAAGAGAGUCGAUAGGUUUGGUACAUCUAAGAGAUGAGGAGUUACAGAAGAGUACAUCGGUGGAGAGAGAAGGACACGCGCGACGUAUCAGAGGGAUGAGAAGCCGGGGAGGAAAUCUGCUCGAGGAGAAGAUUGGAGUUGAGUUUGGGCGAAUUACCAUGGAAGAGACCAAAGUUGCCUUAGUUGACUGGAGGGAGUUGUUGUGACAUAGAUGGGAUUACAACUCAUUAGAGGCAACCAAGAUGUCAUUGGAGGCGCCUCCAAUGCCACUUCAAUAAACGACCACUUCGACCAAAAUGCUAUAAAUAACGCCUUAGAGCUAGGAGUUCUAAAAUAGACUUAGUAUUCAUUUUCUAUACUUCAUUUUUAGCCUCCAAUUGCUGUAAGGGGCUUCUCCGCCUCCGACCUCUAUCGAAGGAGUUUUUUUUAUUACUUUUAUUGUUUUGGAUUAACAACCUUCUCGGUUGUAAACCAAAUAAAAUUCUGAGUCACUUACUAUU